CGCGGCGAUCUAUACAUGCAGUCGACGAACGGAGGAGAGCUUGCUCUUCCAAAGUUAGUGGCGGACGGGUGAGUAACACGUGGGCAACCUGCCUGUAAGUUGGGGAUAACUCCGGGAAACCGGGGCUAAUACCGAAUGAUAAAGUGUGGCGCAUGCCACGCUUUUGAAAGAUGGUUUCGGCUAUCGCUUACAGAUGGGCCCGCGGUGCAUUAGCUAGUUGGUAGGGUAAUGGCCUACCAAGGCAACGAUGCAUAGCCGACCUGAGAGGGUGAUCGGCCACACUGGGACUGAGACACGGCCCAGACUCCUACGGGAGGCAGCAGUAGGGAAUCUUCCGCAAUGGACGAAAGUCUGACGGAGCAACGCCGCGUGUAUGAAGAAGGUUUUCGGAUCGUAAAGUACUGUUGUUAGAGAAGAACAAGGAUAAGAGUAACUGCUUGUCCCUUGACGGUAUCUAACCAGAAAGCCACGGCUAACUACGUGCCAGCAGCCGCGGUAAUACGUAGGUGGCAAGCGUUGUCCGGAUUUAUUGGGCGUAAAGCGCGCGCAGGCGGUCUUUUAAGUCUGAUGUGAAAGCCCCCGGCUUAACCGGGGAGGGUCAUUGGAAACUGGAAGACUGGAGUGCAGAAGAGGAGAGUGGAAUUCCACGUGUAGCGGUGAAAUGCGUAGAUAUGUGGAGGAACACCAGUGGCGAAGGCGACUCUCUGGUCUGUAACUGACGCUGAGGCGCGAAAGCGUGGGGGAGCAAACAGGAUUAGAUACCCUGGUAGUCCACGCCGUAAACGAUGAGUGCUAAGUGUUACGGGGUUUCCGCCCCUUAGUGCUGCAGCUAACGCAUUAAGCACUCCGCCUGGAGAGUACGACCGCAAGGUUGAAACUCAAGAGGAUUUUGACGGGAAAA
rnacentral:rRNA from 1 species